GCAAGUCGAGGGGCAGCAUGGUCUUAGCUUGCUAAGGCCGAUGGCGACCGGCGCACGGGUGAGUAACACGUAUCCAACCUGCCGUCUACUCUUGGACAGCCUUCUGAAAGGAAGAUUAAUACAAGAUGGCAUCAUGAGUCCGCAUGUUCACAUGAUUAAAGGUAUUCCGGUAGACGAUGGGGAUGCGUUCCAUUAGAUAGUAGGCGGGGUAACGGCCCACCUAGUCUUCGAUGGAUAGGGGUUCUGAGAGGAAGGUCCCCCACAUUGGAACUGAGACACGGUCCAAACUCCUACGGGAGGCAGCAGUGAGGAAUAUUGGUCAAUGGGCGAGAGCCUGAACCAGCCAAGUAGCGUGAAGGAUGACUGCCCUAUGGGUUGUAAACUUCUUUUAUAAAGGAAUAAAGUCGGGUAUGCAUACCCGUUUGCAUGUACUUUAUGAAUAAGGAUCGGCUAACUCCGUGCCAGCAGCCGCGGUAAUACGGAGGAUCCGAGCGUUAUCCGGAUUUAUUGGGUUUAAAGGGAGCGUAGAUGGAUGUUUAAGUCAGUUGUGAAAGUUUGCGGCUCAACCGUAAAAUUGCAGUUGAUACUGGAUAUCUUGAGUGCAGUUGAGGCAGGCGGAAUUCGUGGUGUAGCGGUGAAAUGCUUAGAUAUCACGAAGAACUCCGAUUGCGAAGGCAGCCUGCUAAGCUGCAACUGAC
rnacentral:rRNA from 1 species